CUCCACAGAACGUUACGAUAGGCGUAAAUGGCUAGAAGGGAGUCGGCGGCUAGAAAGUGGGUGAUAAGGGUUUUAUAUGCCGGAGCAACCUCUUUAAAUUAAGCUCGACGCACAUAAAGGAAGUUCCCAAGUGCGUUUCCAGACUCACAAACCUGUCAGUCCUCCUGUCGAACAACAACUCCAUCACGGGCCUCCCCGCUGAGCUGCUCUCCUUACAUCAACUGGCUGAGCUGAAUUUAGGAAAUAAUGCCUUGAAGGAGUUUCCCGCUGUUCUGGGCCAUCUGGAGUCCUUGAAAAAGCUGUACCUGUUCAGAAACCAAAUUACUGUAGUGCCACCUGAUGUGAUAGGUGGCUUCAAGAACCUUGUUGUCCUCAAUCUGAACCACAACCAGAUUCAAAGACUUCCUCCAGGGAUUAAAAGCUUGAGUAUGCAUGAACACCUCAGCGUGCUGGACAAUAAGCUGGAGGAAGUUUCCGCAGAGCUUGGUCAUCUCUUUAGAUAAACCUAAACUUCAACCGGCUGUCCUGGCUUCCUCGGCAGCUGUACUAGUGCAAAGAGCUGACAAAGCUGUAUGCAGCCAGAAACUACUUGACCAGCCUACCAGAGGAGGGUUCUUAUAAAAUCCCACACCAGUUACCUGUUGAGUUUUUCAUGUUUUUCUUUUCUUUUCUGGUUUUAGUCAGCAAAUCAAGAGUUUCAGGAAAAUCACUAAUUUGACUGGCCACUCACAUGACCUAAAUUUCCCUGAAGUUAAUUUUUGACUGAAUAUAGUGUUCCUAUAUUGAUAAGGUAGCUUUUAAGAUAUUUGUGUCAAGCUGUAUCUCUGCUUCUACUUUUGUACUGUGAAAUAAUUUGGCCGUAACGGAACUGCACUGUGAAGGGAACAGGUUUGUGCAGUGUGAGCUGAUGACUUUGGUGCAGUAUGCUGAAGUACUUACAUUAAAGUAGGAACUGGUUGUUAGGUUUGUAUUGCGGGAGGACAGGAACAGGUUCUCUCUAAUCCAUGUGAUGCUUCUCCACUGUCCAAAUCUAAAGACGCUACUGGACACCGCCAGCUCUUGUGCGGUCUGCUGCAGCCCCUUCCUCACCACCUGGCUGCAUUGUGUGCAUUUUGUAAAUCUAAAGAAGGACUUGAAAAUGAGGAGUAUGCUUACUAUUCCAGUGUGUGCCCUUCUCUGUUCAUAUGGGUGCUUUAACACAGAAGGACACGCCUACUUUGGUGUUGCUACAAGAUAAAUACAAGUUUAUUUAAAGAUACAGUCUUCUUUUUCAUCUCAUUUAACUUAAUCUGAAGGCACAAAAUGUUUCAAUAAAUAUCACAGUGACAGUGUAGGUCUGGAAGCAUAUACAUGGAUUCAUUCCUCAGUGAUUUUGUCCUUCAAAUUUAUUUGGCAUUUCACUCUGUAGCCACUAGAUGGCAGCAAAUGAACGUUGAUAGGACCCUCGUUUCAACGGGGCUCUAAAAUGCAGGCUUUAUGCCAGCUACAACGAUGUAAAAUCCUUGAAAACAGAUAAAACAAUACAAUUAAAAAAAAACUUUAUUUACAAAUACUUGAACAUAAAACCUUUGUAAGAGAAUACCUGUUACACCUGUUUUUUCUGAGUAAAGAGAUAAUUCUGUGGAGACCUUCACUGGGUUUAACCCGCACAAAAUCUAUAUGAAGACCCAUUUACAUUUAGCAAUGGAAUAUUUUAUUUUUCUGUCUGUCCACCUCGGCACAUCCUUUUCCCAUGUCAGCGCUGAUCAAACUCCACAGCUAUAGCUGCCCUGUCUCUAUCGGCUUCUACAGAAAGUGGCAUCUGUUCCAACCUGCCAGACAAGAGAAAGAUAGAGAGAGGGAGGGAGGGCUAGAGAGAACUUCAUUUCUAGCAAAUUAAUUUCCCAUCCACGCCUCCAGAGCUUACUAGCUCGUUCGCUAGCUGCUGCGGCCGCUGCUGCGUGUGUCUGCUGAGUCGGAGCCUCAUGCAUAAUGCAUCAGGUUUAAUUGCAAACCCAGAAACUAAUGACUUUGGACUGGUUAACAGCAGGGGAGCCAUACAUCUCGAGCAAACUGAAUGAAAAAUCAGCUCAGAGGAGAGAAAAAAAGGAGCCUAGCCCCUAAUUGAUGAAUAAUUGAAGCGGCGAGCUACAGGGCAUAAUUGUGACAUUUUGUUUCAAUCAAUUUCCAAGUGGUGUGGGCGAAAGUGCACUUAAAGGAAAAAAGCAAUGACAAUGAAUGAGAAUGAAAGGGAGAGAUGGAGAGCGCGGACGGUGAUGGAAAUGGACUUGUGUCUUCAGUCAUUGUUACGACAUUUGCUGGAGCAAAAAGGCAGGACUGGACCAAACGCUUUUAUCUCUCUUCCUCUCUCUUUAUAGGUUUAUCUGUCAGACCCCUGCUUUGCUGUAGUUGGGUUGCUUUUAAAAAAAAAAACUCAGCUAAUGGAUCCGUAUUCUUGAGUCAUUUUCACGUACCACAUCUAUUUUAAAAAGAAAAAGAAAUGUGAAGUUGCUCGAGUGGACAUGCUUUUAUUUCUUUUUUCAGUCAACCUAAUUAGUUUAUUGGGAGAGUACGAGGGCCAGGUCACAGAACCGAACACCACGCAAGUCAGUCUUGAACUAUCGUGUAAGGCCACAACGACUCGUGAUUUUAUAACUGUGACUAUAUUACUGAACACGGGUGCUGUGAUCUCAGCUACACUUAUGUAAAAUGAUCACUCAGAGAGAAAGUUAGUUGCAAGAGAAGGUCUUUUACUUUUUCUCUCCCACAGCGCGCUGCUGCUCUCUGUCGCUCUCUGAAGCCUUGCUGGCCGCUCGACCAGUGGGCGCAACAGAGAGAGAAAGGAGACACUGCUGCAGAGCAGUAGGGUACUGAUCAUUUUGGCUGUGGCUAAAACUAGUGAAAAAGUUGCUGAGUUAGCAGCCGUGAGGUGAACGAGUUGAUGUGGUUAAAAUUUCCCUCCACAAAACUCCCCAAAAAGACAAACAUAUGAAUGCUGAUAUUUAAAGCUGACGCAAUAAAUGAAUAUCCAAAUAUCUGGAAUUUUUGGGUGCAGACCUGUAUUGUUUCAAUAUUCAAGAUUUGAUGGCAACAACAAGUCUCUGAGCAUACAGGAUCAAAGCUAACAGUAAUCACGGUUCUGAAAAUGCCAAACUAUUCUGUGUAGACGAUCAAACAAAGUUGUGUGCACAUUCUUAAACUUAAAAUAGCUCCACAUGUUUGAUAUGGCAGGUUUUUUUUAAACUACAUGCCUUUCCUGACAUAACACCAAAUGGAUUUGUGCAUCUUCCAGGGAUCAAACCAGGCAUCUUUCACUUGUUAAGCAAGCAUGCAAACCACUACACUAUGCAGCCAGUAUUAGGCUAUGCUACGAAACUAAAACUAUUGACCAGCUUUAUAUCAUUAUUUACAUCUUCACAGUGGGCAAAAAUCUAUGUAUAUAUUUGAGUACUUUAUAAGACCACAACUGAUAAAUAGGUCAUUGCAGCUGGCAUCGUACUAAUGGGUGAAAGGGCAACAGUAUGUGCCUUCUUGCGGGCAGCAGAUGUUGGGUCCUGCAGCAGUGCAGCAGCAGCCGCACUCGCUCAGUGGCCUCAGGACUUGUCUGUUAGUGGGUCUGGUGUCUGGUCUCUGGUGUCAAGCUUUAUGCGUGUCUUUGCACGUACAAACGCACACACACAUCCCUUUAACGCACUACAGAGGAGCAGACACGCUCACUUCACUCGCUCUGCACUGAUGGCACAUCAUCACAAUAUUUUUUCCCCACAUAGCGUUGUUUUCAUCAUGUUGUUUCACAAAACGCAUAGUCACACACCCCCACACGUGUGCACAUGCAUUCUUUUUCCAUAUCACUGAGCUCUUCCUUAUGAUUGCCACAUACAGAGUGUGCUGCGUGUUUCUUAACAUCAUGCGCAGCAUGAUUGACGUGUAUGGAAAUGAGGAGGUUACAUCCUCAAAGGAGAUACCAUACGGAUGGGAGCAGCACACUGACGAGAGGCAUCUACAAAAGGCGCUUGUAAAUUCUUGACAUGCCUAACAUAUGUUAAUGAGCCAUUCUCUCACUCUGAUAUAAUUACUGCGAGGGGAUAUUGCCUUUGGUGAAAAUAUCCGUCUCGCAUGGCAUGGCUACCUCAUGGGGGUGAAAAAAAAGUAAAGAAUGAUAAAGUAGCGGGGGCAUAAAUUCUCAUUUACCAUGCUUGGAGGUAAAGAGAGUGAUGUUGGCAAAUUCACUCAGGAUGAUAUAUUGGGGAGAAGGCACCUUGGGUUCAUUACAUACUUCCUUUGUUAAAGCGCCUUCUGUAGUCUUGCAUCGUUUGUUUGGAGGUAUUUAGUCUGUCUUGUCACUUGGAGCAUUUACUUUGGAUGUUUGAGCUUACAUUGUAUCUUGGGGCCAGAAAGACAAGUGAUAUUUAAACUGUUGUUGCUGCUGAAGAUGUCAUGUUAAUUUUAUCUGCUCAUAGUUUAUUUGGUGUUAAAGCUCAAUACAUCACUACUAUUAUCCAUUCUGUAUAUGAAUCCCCACCUUUUAUUAUAUUAAAUUUAUUAUGCUUAAACUGGACAUACUAUGCUUUCGCUUAGUUUCUAUCAUAUUGUUACAGUGGUGGGUGCUCAUAUUAAACAUAGCCAAUAAUAAGUGUUUGUACCAGUAAUCAGACUCCUUUAAAUGCUCAGUUUCAGAUUUGUUUUUUUCUUCUCUCGGCUCUGUCUGACAUCAGAGUUGAUAUCCUUAAUCUUAUC